GAAAUGCGAUAACUAGUGUGAAUUGCAGAAUUCCGUGAAUCAUCGAGUCUUUGAACGCACAUUGCGCCCCCCGGUAUUCCGGGGGGCAUGCCUGUCCGAGCGUCAUUGCUGCCCAUCAAGCACGGCUUGUGUGUUGGGUCGUCGUCCCCUCUCCGGGGGGGACGGGCCCCAAAGGCAGCGGCGGCACCGCGUCCGAUCCUCGAGCGUAUGGGGCUUUGUCACCCGCUCUGUAGGCCCGGCCGGCGCUUGCCGAACGCAAAUCAAUCUUUUUCCAGGUUGACCUCGGAUCAGGUAGGGAUACCCGCUGAACUUAAGC
rnacentral:misc_RNA from 1 species